CUUAGCUCUGUGAGUCCGUUUCCGCCUCCUGACGGCCUUUCUCUUGCUCACUUUCCCUUCAAAGGUCUUCCUGUUCUUGGGGCAGCUCCCGCGGUGGCUGGGUCUUGCAGGCUCCUGUUUUUCAUCGGACGGUGGCAUUUUUCAAGAUGUGGCGAGAUGCUCUUGAAGUCUGGUAAAAUUCUCACGCAGGAGUUUUGAUGGACUUGCUAUUCUGUGCAUCUAGUAUUUUUUACACCUUAUGGUGUAUGAGCGGCGGCGACGGCAGCAUCC
rnacentral:lncRNA from 1 species